UGCAGUUAACAUUGUAACGUAUAGUUGUGAUGAAGGAUUAAAUCUCGUUGGUAAUAAUGAGAUAACAUGUCAAGAAAGCUUUAAUUGGACGGAUCCAUUAUUUUUUUGCACAGAAUGCACGAAUCCACCAGCUGUACCAAACGCCGUAUUACACAUAGAUUUACUACAGAAUGAUACUAUGGUGUACUAUGAAUGUGAUAAUGGAUAUAACUCAGUUGGAUAUAGGUAUAUCGAUUGUUUUGGUAGCUCAUGGACUGUAAGACGAUUCAUUUGUACACCUUGUACAGAGCCACCAAGUGUUCAGAAUGCAACAUAUAAGAUUGAAAAAAUCAACAACAAGUUUGAAGUGUUAUAUCAAUGUGACAAUGGACUACUUCUGAUUGGA